GGCGUGAUUGGGGCUCAGGAGAGAGGACCUUCAGAGUUCUAAGCCAUGAGAGCAACAGGAGAGCAUGACACAGCUUAGCUGCAAGAUAGUGUCUUCUUGCUGAGAAGGCCGGACAUUCUAGGCAAACAACGUAAGUUCCAUGUUUAUUACAGGCUAGGCGUUUUUUCAUAUUUUGCGCUAAGUCAUUCCUAUUCAACCUCAAGAUGUGGAUAUAAACAAGGAGCGAAUGCCUCAAAGCUAACACAAGGAGGAUCUAGGAUUUGAAAGCAGGCCUGUGUGACUUCAGAGAUUUGCUGUGUCUACUGCUGUAUUCUGUCUUCUUUCCAGGGAGAGCUCCAUCCUCUAAAACAGUGAGAUGGCCACCCCCAGCAUCCGGUCGCUCUUUAAGAUUGACCUCUUCAGGGAGCCCAACCCUGAAGAGAGCCUGUUUCCUGGAGAACCAACAAGGGCACCAUCAGGACAGGAAUCCUACUCAAGGAGAGACAGAUUCCAGCUUCAUUUCCAGGCCAUGGUCCACAGAAAUCUCGGAAUUCCUUGGAAGGACAAGGAUGGCAGCAAAGGAUGACAUUUGGGUCUUUAGUAGCCCAGGCUGAUGACACUGGCUUCUCAUUCUGCUUGUUUUUGUUCUCCUGCUGAGCUUAGAUUUUUAUUAUUUAUUUAUUUAUUUUUAAAAUUAAAAUGUGCUAAGCCUUGGAAUAUGGAAUGAAGCAGGGCAAAGACUAAUAGAGUUUUGCCAAGAAAAUGCACUGGUCAUAGCAAACACCCUCUUCCAACAACACAAGAGAAGACUCUACACAUGGACAUCACCAGAUGGUCAACACCGAAAUCAGACUGAUUAUAUUAUUUGUAGGCAAAGAUGGAGAAGCUCUAUACAGUCAACAAAAACAAGAAUGGGAGCUGCCUGUGGCUCAGAACAUGAAC
rnacentral:lncRNA from 1 species